GCUGAACUUAAGCAUAUCAAUAAGCGGAGGAAAAGAAACUAACAAGGAUUCCCCUAGUAACUGCGAGUGAAGCGGGAAAAGCUCAAAUUUAAAAUCUGAUAGUCUUUGGCUAUCCGAGUUGUAAUCUAGAGAAGCGUUAUCCGCGCUGGACCAUGUAUAAGUCUCCUGGAAUGGAGCGUCAUAGAGGGUGAGAAUCCCGUCUUUGACAUGGACUACCAGGGCAUUGUGAUGCGCUCUCAAAGAGUCGAGUUGUUUGGGAAUGCAGCUCUAAAUGGGUGGUAAAUUCCAUCUAAAGCUAAAUAUUGGGCGAGAGACCGAUAGCGAACAAGUACCGUGAGGGAAAGAUGAAAAGAACCUUGGAAAGAGAGUUAAACAGUACGUGAAAUUGUUGAAAGGGAAACGCUUGAAGUCAGUCACAUUGAUUAGGGAUCAGCCUUGCUUUUGCUUGGUGUACUUUCUAGUUAAUGGGUCAGCAUCAAUUUCGACCAGUGGAAAAAAGUCAGAAGAAUGUGACAUCUUCGGAUGUGUUAUAGCUUUUGAUUGUAUACAUUGGUUGGGAUUGAGGAACUCAGCAUGCCGCAAGGCCGGGUUUUACCACGUUCAUGCUUAGGAUGCUGGCAUA
rnacentral:rRNA from 1 species